UAUCAGGUUGAUAUAAAAGCCUGGGAACAAUCGCUUGGCAUUCCAGUGGGCUUUACUCUGCCAAAAUGAAUUUCGUAUCUUUCUUUUUGAUCUGCCUUGUUUUGAUCAUUGCUUUCGCUAAUCCUAGCGAGGCUUUGCUCCAAAAUAUCAUUAAGGCAGUUGGAUCUACUGGUGUGAAAGUUGUCAAUGCCAUCUACAACCUCUUCGACGUUGUGCCAUAAAAUUAGAAGAAAUACAUUUUGCUAGCGAA